GGGGCUAUAGCUCAGUUGGUAGAGCGCUUGCUUCGCAUGCUAGAGGUCUGGGGUUCGACUCCCUAUGGCUCCA
rnacentral:tRNA from 1 species